AGUCAUACGCUCGUCUCAAAGAUUAAGACAUGCAUGUCUAAGUAUAAAUCUCUUACUUUGAAACUGCGAACGGCUCAUUAUAUCAGUUAUAAUUUAUUGGAUAGUCCCUUACUACUUGGAUAACCGUAGUAAUUCUAGAGCUAAUACAUGCGUCAAUACCCCUCGUGGGUAGCAAUUAUUAGAUUGAAACCAACCCCUUUGGGGCGAUGUGGUGAUUCAUAAUAAUAGUGCGGAUCGCACGGCUCAUGCCGGCGACGGAUCUUUCAAGUUUCUGCCCUAUCAGCUUUGGAUGGUACGGUAUUGGCCUACCAUGGCUUUAACGGGUAACGGGAAAUUAGGGUUUGAUUCCGGAGAGGGGGCCUGAGAGAUGGCCACCACAUCCAAGGAAGGCAGCAGGCGCGUAAAUUACCCAAUCCUGACACAGGGAGGCAGUGACAAUAAAUAACAAUGCCGGGCCUUUGUAGGUCUGGCAAUUGGAAUGAGAACAAUUUAAACCCCUUAUCGAGGAUCAAU
rnacentral:rRNA from 1 species